UCCCAUUCUUGUGGAAUGGAUUUGAGCAGGCAAAUGACAUCGUGGGAGGAGGAAUUGUGUGAAAUGGAGUGACACAAGAAAAACUAAAGGGGUGAAGUGGAAGACUACAGAAAAAUGGAGAGACGCCCAGGUGAAAGAAAGGAAGCUGGCAAACUGCAGACAUCUGAACUCCCUUAUACAGAGAAAAUGGAAACAAAUAAAAUCCUGCCUUAUGCUGCCCCUUGUAAUUUUCCAGAAAUAUUCAGUAAUUUUCCCUGGAGUCCCAUGCUGACAGCUGGCAGAUGCUGAAUGAGAGAAGGUCCCUAGAAUGAGGAUGGCAAGGUCACAUCUGGAAUGCCUGUGAAGAUACUGAUGCAGUGAAUCACAAGCAACUUCUGCUGCCACGUAGUGGCAGCGAGAAAAGCUGCCAUAUGACAGAUCUUUGUAGUCCUUGUCCGAAGAUGAUGUCUUCGUAUUUUUAUUAAUGAUGUUCUCUGGUAACAAGUGUGCUAAUUUUAGGAUGUUAGAAUCACAGAGGAAGGGGAAGACCUUAAGCAAUACUGUUUCUGCAGACUUAACUUAGUGUGCAAGUAACUCCUUAUAAACUACAUAGCAUUCUCCUAUGCCAUAGGUUUAUUUAAAAGUGUUGCUAAGAAGGUGUUUAAAAGCUUGUAUUUCAGAGACUGUGUAUGAAUAGUACCUCUCACUGCCGUGGUUGCUAUAGUAAACCCUUGUUCUUACUUGAACACUACAAUAAAUAAUACUUUAAAACUGGAGAGGAAAGUAAAAAGAAAAAACUCCAUUAGGCGUUCCAUGAGCCACUUGAAAUUACUGAUCAUUUUUCAUGUUUUGCAAGUAUGGAAUGCUUUGUGCAGCUAUAGAAUAGCAACACCUGCAUAAUUGUGAUGUUUUCUCUGCAUAAGUUGUUCCUCAAAACUUCUCAGGAUACAAUGUGGUUCAGAGCACCUCUGUCAAUAAGGAAAAGAGCAAUGAGUGGGAUUAAAAUUAGCUGUUUUCUUAAAAUUAUAUACAUUUAAGACCCAGUUUCAGAGUAGAAGAGGAUACGAAGGGUAGAAGUGAUCCUUGAAAUGAUCCAUGCUGUAACUGCUGCCAGUGGAGUUGGACUGGAGGUAAAUUUUCCAAUCUUUUCCCUUGGUGUUAAAAUGUAGUAGUUCACAAGCAUUGCAGUUAAAGAUUUCACCCAUGCUGAUGGCAGCCCUAGAGUACUACAGAUAAUGCUGUCCAGGAGAGAAAGUACAUGCUGGGGAGGGUAACAAGACAGAGGAUGCUGAGCAGCUGGGAACUAUAGCAGCUCCUUUCUACCUGGGUGUGAAAAGGAAGAGAAAGAACCUUGAAGGCCAGAUGGACUCUUUGAGGGCUGAGAGAAAUGUCCCAUACAUAAUGAUAAACAGCUGUGAGGCAAAAGACUUGCAGGCCCCUGAGGGGAAGGAGAAGGAAGAGUGAGGUUAACAGAAGUAGAUUAUGCUAUCAUAGUAAAGCAGCGAAAGAGAUUGAUAAAUGAAAUGCUGGGUUCAGAGUUACUGGCAUGAGGCAAAUGGUAUUUAUAUAUAAAGCACUGGAGUUGGAAUAAGCUGAUUUGGGCCUAUUUUGUCCUUUGAUCAGACUGCACAUGUCCUCGGUCCUCUGUCUCGUCUUCCCAGCUGCAUGCUGGGGCUAGUGCUUUCUUUUGCAGGGCUUUUGACAGAGGCAAACGUACUAUUGAGCUGUUCAGAUGAUGCGCCAACAUGGGCUAUAGCAGAAGACAUCUUUUGUGGACUGCUGCUCACUCAAGGAGUGGGAGACAUUUAUUCCUCACCAGCUAAGAUGCUUCUCAUGGAUCUGCAUCCUCAUUAGCAGACAGCAUCUUUUUUUUCUUGUAAUUAGCUGACAGUUCAAUAGGUAGCUCCAGUCUCUUUUACACCUGGAAAACAAUCAACAUGGAAAUCAUAGAAGCACAUGUCUUCCCUUCCUACUUUAAAGCAGUCUGAGUUACACACAUUGUUAAACACAUAAUACACAACAACUGUGUGUUAGAGCUCUCCAGAACAUGUGUGAAAUAAUGUUGGUUUGGUUUUUUUUUCCCUUUCCUUUCUUAAUUGGCUUCAGUUUGAAACGUACUUUAGCUUCUCUGACUUCUGUAUUAGCCUCAACGCACCAGUCAUGGAUCGGGCCAUAAGGAACUGUUUCCAGCCACCUGAACAGUGGAAACGGGAAGCGAGGGCAGCUGGAGGGGGGAGCGUGCACCAGCUGGCCCUGCUCCUGAGGCAUUAUAACUGGAUUCUUUGGGGUAGAAGGGUGUGAGGUCUCAGGUCAUUUCCUGCCAGGUUUGCUCUGAAUGGGAGGGGGAUAUGUAAUUGUGCUGUCUCCUUGUACCAUUAGUGUCAAGACUCAUUAGGAACUCAAUCUACUCAGUGGCAGUAGGCAUACAAAAGAAAGAACUAGCCAAAGUCUGCAGACUGCAGAGCAGGAGUUGGUGGAGGGAGCAAUUGUAAAUUCCCGUCUGGGUAAUUAGAGUCAGCAGGGAAUCAGAUUGGCUACGGCAGGGCUUUCAUUUUUCCCCUUGCUGUUUUAACGGGAUUGGCAGGUGCUGCUUUAUUCCAGGGGUGAGGUGAUGUGCCUGUGUCAUAAUUCACAAUGAGAAAUGAUCAUCAAUUUGCUACCAUGCUCCUGGGGUUCCUGUCUGGAAUGAAUCAGCUCAGAUCUAUAAGCUGCUUAGACCUUCCAAGCACUGUAGCUUAAAUAAUGGCAAUAGAAGCUUUGUUAGCUCCUGAUUUUUAUAGGUUUAAACACAGAAAAGAGGGAGCCAAUAUCUGUAGCCUCCUUUGGCUGCAGGGAGAGGGAUUGCUCUGCCUGGUUUCUUAGGAACACCUAAUAGAGCAAGACAGUCCCUAGUGCUGGGUGCAUGAGCUUCUCCUGCUCUACCACCCUACUAACGGUUUGUAGAAUUUUGGUAGGUGAUAAGGAAGGAACCUGAAGAGUGAUGCACCAGGGCUGGGAGUCACUACUAAGUGCUGUCCUAGCC